rnacentral:tRNA from 2 species
GGGCCCGUAGCUCAGUUGGUUAGAGCGCUUCCCUGAUAAGGAAGAGGUCGCUGGUUCGAGUCCAGCCGGGCCCACCA